rnacentral:rRNA from 1 species
CCUACGGGAUGCAGCAGUAGGGAAUCUUCCACAAUGGGCGAAAGCCUGAUGGAGCAACGCCGCGUGGGUGAAGAAGGUCUUCGGAUCGUAAAACCCUGUUGUUAGAGAAGAAAGUGCGUGAGAGUAACUGUUCACGUUUCGACGGUAUCUAACCAGAAAGCCACGGCUAACUACGUGCCAGCAGCCGCGGUAAUACGUAGGUGGCAAGCGUUAUCCGGAUUUAUUGGGCGUAAGGGGAACGCAGGCGGUCUGUUAAGUCUGAUGUGAAAGCCUUCGGCUUAACCGGAGUAGGGCAUUGGAAACUGGGAGACGUGAGUGCAGAAGAGGAGAGUGGAACUCCAUGUGUAGCGGUGAAAUGCGUAGAUAUAUGGAAGAACACCAGUGGCGAAAGCGGCUCUCUGGUCUGUAACUGACGCUGAGGUUCGAAAGCGUGGGUAGCAAACAGGAUUAGAUACCCUAGUAGUC